rnacentral:rRNA from 1 species
GAAAUCAGUUCAGCACUAAGUCACUUUGUCUAUAUGACAAAUGUGAGAUGCAGUGUAUGGAACGUCAAUAUUCUAGUAUGAGAAAUUAACGAUUUAAGUCCUUCUUAAAUGAGGCCAUUUACCCAUAGAGGGUGCCAGGCCCGUAUAACGUUAAUGAUUAUUAGAUGAUGUUUCCAAAGAGUCGUGUUGCUUGAUAGUGCAGCACUAAGUGGGUGGUAAACUCCAUCUAAAACUAAAUAUAACCAUGAGACCGAUAGUAAACAAGUACCGUGAGGGAAAGUUGAAAAGAACUCUGAAUAGAGAGUUAAAUAGUACGUGAAACUGCUUAGAGGUUAAGCCCGAUGAACCUGAAUAUCCGUUAUGGAAAAUUCAUCAUUAGAAUUACAAUAUUUAAUCAAUAUUAUAAUGAUAGUGUGCAUUUUUUCCAUAUAAGGACAUUGUAAUCUAUUAGCAUGUAUGGAAUUUAUCAAAAAAUUUUGAUAAGAGUUUAUUUAAAUUAGAGUGCUUGCAUUUUAACACAAAAUAAAUUUCAAAAAUUUGAUAAAGUGCUGAUAGAUUUAUAUGAAUACAGUGCGUUAAUUUUUCGGAAUUAUAUAAUGGCAUGAUUAUCAUUGAUUUUUGUGUUUAUUAUAAGCACUUGUAUGAUUAACAAUGCGAAAGA